CUCACAGAUGCUGAUGACAAUUCCCAAGUGACAGUGGCCCUCCAUUAGUUCCUCUUAGAGGACUUUGUACCCUCGAUGGCCACGUGAUCAGCUUGGGUUUUCAGUUUAUCACAGUCAUACCUCAGGAUGAGUUAACACUGCUUCUUUGUCUGACCCAGAACUGUACCUUCUCUGCACUACAUCUCCAGGCUGGGCUAGCUAGUGAUGUUUGAUUACAUUCUGAACUUGAGGUCCUAUGUCAGUGGCCCAGGAUUCAUGCUCAAAACUGUCUCGAAUGUCUGUUUUCUUACUACCAUAUAGCAAGGGUAGAAGAAAUGUUCCUAAAAUGACCUUUGGGAGGCAGAUGUUCAGCCCGAAAGGAGAAAGAGUUCUGCUAUAGUCAGAAGUGAAAAAACAAACAAACAAACAAACAAAAAAACCCCCAUGAAUCUACAAUAUAUAUGUCAGGAGCACAUUGUCAGGAACAUGUGUUGGGGGCAGACAUGUUAGGAACAGCAGGAAGGGCCUUGCCAGGCCCAAGCAAGUUAGGCCAUACUCUUUGUUUGGACCAUGGAAGUAGUCUUUCCUAGUGGCUUUAGUUACCUAGUUCAAGAGCUGCAAAGAACUGGCUGGUCAUAAACCACACGCACACACACAACACACACACACACAACACACACACACACACACAACACACACACACACAACACACACACACACACACUCUUCAGAGGCUCAACAGCACAUGCCUGAGCUACACAGCAUUGGACAAGUCACUGGCCUCCAUGUGUCUUAGCUUUCUCAUCUGCACAAUAAGGAAAAUCAUUGACUCUUCUUCAAGGUUUGCUGUGAAGAUUACAUGUGGUUAAUACAGGAAUUAUUUAGCACUGUGGUGGGGUCAGCUCUGCUCUUACUCUAGUAGGGACAUUCUCUUGCCUUAACACCUCAGACGAAAAAGUCACUCCCAGAAUUUUUCAGAGGAGACCAGAUGAAGGUCCAAAUGAGUUUCCUAUUUUUCCCAGAGGAGAAGGGCAACCAGAAGACAUCUCUGCUCAGGAAUGUUUCAGUGAGAUAUUGACAUGUGGAUAAAGGUUUGUUCUCUUGAAUCUGUGGAGACAGAUCUGAGGGAACAGUCUGAGCUUCUGGGAGUUUUAUCCCAGAAUCUGGGAGAUUAUUGAUACUGUAUCCAGAAUAAGGUCUUUCCAGCCUGUGAGAUUACUCCAGCACUGAGAAUCCACAGGCAAAUCUGACAGCAAGUGAGGGUUUCUUUGUACUUGCUCUCAAAAGUCAAUUUCUUCAAUUGCAGCCUUAACUCCCUGGGAUAUUUCAAUUAAACAUCCACCUACCCUGCACCUUGCAUGGGUGAUUACAUGUGUUACCUAAACUUGCUAUAAAAUUUUGAGGUAUUUUCCAAAGAAAGGACCCUGGUCUGAGACCUUAGGACAGGAAUGCUCUCUUCACCUUAUAACAGGUUAAAAUUUUAAAAAAUUUCCCUCACCCUCCCUUCAUGUGCUAUAGGUAUAUCUAUGUCCACAUUUUUCAAAUGAUGUAUCAAGUGACUUAAAUCUCAGCAAAAGAUGGGC
rnacentral:lncRNA from 1 species